GGGCUUAUAGCGCAGCUGGGAGCGCGCCUGACUGGCAGUCAGGAGGUCAGGAGUUCGAUCCUCCUUAGGUCCACCA
rnacentral:tRNA from 1 species